AGUGACUCCAAACACAAGAGAGAGACGAAUAGUGGUAUUUGGAUUUCCAAAAAAAUGGUUUAUAAAAACACUUUAAUUUAAAAUAGUCUAUGUUAGAAGAUAUUAAUAGAUAGAGAUAAAGGAGAAAAAUAAUAAAAAAGAUAAAAGACAUAGAGAGGAGAAGUAAAAAAGAUAAAUAAAUAAAAUAAAACAAAUAAGGGAUAGAAAGAUCACAUAAGAUAUUUAUCUUGGUUUGACCUACACCAUAUGGCCUACUCUAG
rnacentral:lncRNA from 1 species